AUGGGGUCAGUGAGGGCCUGGUCAGGAACCGAAGCCUUGACGCCCCACAUGGUCUUGGGCCAGGUUUGGGGUGUGGAGCAGGCUCCGGCCGGGUGGGGGCUUCCGCUCGAGACUGCGGCGGAAGCGCAUCCCCUGGGGCCGCCGUCUCCAGUGGCAGUGACCCCCAAAUGGAGAGGGGGACCUCGAGUCCUCCUCCUUUGGGCUCAGAUCUGGGUGGAAAUCUGGGAGGGCGCGGAAGCCAGCGGCCUGUCCCUGCUCACCCGGCUGCAGCCCUCUGGGCGUUGCCCUUGCGGCCUCUCCUCUGCAGGCCGUGCGGCUCCAGGACGCUCCAGCCGGAGGCCCAGAAGGACUACCCUCCGCGGGCCAGUGAACCCCGCACCCUCUCCCUGCCUGGUACAGGCAGAGGAACCGAAGUUCCUAGGGUCAGUACUGUCUGUUCCAGCCCUGGAAAUGGAGCCCUUUGGGAUAUGUUUGUGGGAUCCCAGAGAGCCCCCAUUUUCCAGUGAGGCUCACGGUCACGCAGAUAUGGGGUUGUGCUCCGGAGCUGAACUGUGUUUUCUUACUUUAAUAUUCUUGGCCUGCAUGUGGUGCCUCCCCCUCUCCCCACAUUCACAAGAAAUAGGGUGUCAGCAGAGCCCGGCGCUGAGAGGAAGAUCUGUGCAGAGAGGCUGCCUGUCCAGAUGGCCCGCUGCCCACCUGAUGGCAGAGAAUCAUCACCACCAUCCUGUGCAGAGGCUGGCUGGUGCUGCGCGCUCCACCCGUGGGACACCCCCUUGUUCUGACUCCUGUCACUUUCACCCCCACCCCUUGGAGGAGGAGAAGGGACACCCCGGAGCCUGGGCAUCUCCCCUGCACCGCUCCUGCUCUCAGGGCCUCUGGGCAGGAGAGUGGCAGGCAGGGCAGGAGGCUGCGGUCCACUCCGGGACCACUCAUUCACCACUGCACAGACAGGACACUAAGCCUGGAGAUCAGAGACUCACCCAAGGUCACACGGCUCUUCCUGACCCCUGCCCAGGGCCAGGGGGUGCAGCCUUCCUACAGCAGCCUGUACAGCUGUGCUGCACCCCCUCUGGGGAGAACGGGGCCCAUGGCUGGCUGCUUCCCUCAGCCCAGGGCGUCCACAGUGUUUGUCAACUGGAUGAGGCAUCCCACCUGCCUGGGCCUUGCGGCCAUUCCCAAAGAGGGACCUCUUUACAGGAUGGGAACCUGGGAGUCAGGGGGAUUCUUGGAGGAGGUGCCACGGUCUGA
rnacentral:lncRNA from 1 species